CCGGCCGCCAUCUCGGGAGCGAAGCUGCCGCCGGCGGCCGCGCGCAGGGAACUGCGGCCCAGCUCGGUCCGUCUUAACCGUUGUUCUGCUCUCAUCGCCCUCAUCCGCCCUCCACCCCCGACCCGUGGAAGAGGAGAGCCCCCCAGCCGCAGUGAGGCUGACUGGCUCCAGCGGCCCUCAUGGAGGAGGAAGGGGAGGCUUCUCCGCUCGCCGCCGGUAGAAAAAAAUUAUACUUCCAGUUCCAAUUAUAAAAAGGGCCAGAAGAACGAACAGCCAAAUGAUGCCGGCCGAAAGUACUUUCUCCAUCUUCUCUUCUUGUUGUCUUAUAGCAUCUGUGUCAGCAUUUGGGACUUACUGCCAGUUGGACAGAAGCC